rnacentral:rRNA from 1 species
GGGUUGUGAGGUUAAGCGACUAAGCGUACACGGUGGAUGCCCUGGCAGUCAGAGGCGAUGAAGGACGUGCUAAUCUGCGAUAAGCGUCGGUAAGGUGAUAUGAACCGUUAUAACCGGCGAUUUCCGAAUGGGGAAACCCAGUGUGUUUCGACACACUAUCAUUAACUGAAUCCAUAGGUUAAUGAGGCGAACCGGGGGAACUGAAACAUCUAAGUACCCCGAGGAAAAGAAAUCAACCGAGAUUCCCCCAGUAGCGGCGAGCGAACGGGGAGCAGCCCAGAGCCUGAAUCAGUGUGUGUGUUAGUGGAAGCGUCUGGAAAGGCGCGCGAUACAGGGUGACAGCCCCGUACACAAAAAUGCACAUGCUGUGAGCUCGAUGAGUAGGGCGGGACACGUGGUAUCCUGUCUGAAUAUGGGGGGACCAUCCUCCAAGGCUAAAUACUCCUGACUGACCGAUAGUGAACCAGUACCGUGAGGGAAAGGCGAAAAGAACCCCGGCGAGGGGAGUGAAAAAGAACCUGAAACCGUGUACGUACAAGCAGUGGGAGCACGCUUCGGCGUGUGACUGCGUACCUUUUGUAUAAUGGGUCAGCGACUUAUAUUCUGUAGCAAGGUUAACCGAAUAGGGGAGCCGAAGGGAAACCGAGUCUUAACUGGGCGUUAAGUUGCAGGGUAUAGACCCGAAACCCGGUGAUCUAGCCAUGGGCAGGUUGAAGGUUGGGUAACACUAACUGGAGGACCGAACCGACUAAUGUUGAAAAAUUAGCGGAUGACUUGUGGCUGGGGGUGAAAGGCCAAUCAAACCGGGAGAUAGCUGGUUCUCCCCGAAAGCUAUUUAGGUAGCGCCUCGUGAAUUCAUCUCCGGGGGUAGAGCACUGUUUCGGCAAGGGGGUCAUCCCGACUUACCAACCCGAUGCAAACUGCGAAUACCGGAGAAUGUUAUCACGGGAGACACACGGCGGGUGCUAACGUCCGUCGUGAAGAGGGAAACAACCCAGACCGCCAGCUAAGGUCCCAAAGUCAUGGUUAAGUGGGAAACGAUGUGGGAAGGCCCAGACAGCCAGGAUGUUGGCUUAGAAGCAGCCAUCAUUUAAAGAAAGCGUAAUAGCUCACUGGUCGAGUCGGCCUGCGCGGAAGAUGUAACGGGGCUAAACCAUGCACCGAAGCUGCGGCAGCGACGCUUAUGCGUUGUUGGGUAGGGGAGCGUUCUGUAAGCCUGCGAAGGUGUGCUGUGAGGCAUGCUGGAGGUAUCAGAAGUGCGAAUGCUGACAUAAGUAACGAUAAAGCGGGUGAAAAGCCCGCUCGCCGGAAGACCAAGGGUUCCUGUCCAACGUUAAUCGGGGCAGGGUGAGUCGACCCCUAAGGCGAGGCCGAAAGGCGUAGUCGAUGGGAAACAGGUUAAUAUUCCUGUACUUGGUGUUACUGCGAAGGGGGGACGGAGAAGGCUAUGUUGGCCGGGCGACGGUUGUCCCGGUUUAAGCGUGUAGGCUGGUUUUCCAGGCAAAUCCGGAAAAUCAAGGCUGAGGCGUGAUGACGAGGCACUACGGUGCUGAAGCAACAAAUGCCCUGCUUCCAGGAAAAGCCUCUAAGCAUCAGGUAACAUCAAAUCGUACCCCAAACCGACACAGGUGGUCAGGUAGAGAAUACCAAGGCGCUUGAGAGAACUCGGGUGAAGGAACUAGGCAAAAUGGUGCCGUAACUUCGGGAGAAGGCACGCUGAUAUGUAGGUGAAGUCCCUCGCGGAUGGAGCUGAAAUCAGUCGAAGAUACCAGCUGGCUGCAACUGUUUAUUAAAAACACAGCACUGUGCAAACACGAAAGUGGACGUAUACGGUGUGACGCCUGCCCGGUGCCGGAAGGUUAAUUGAUGGGGU